rnacentral:rRNA from 1 species
UAGGGAAUCUUCCACAAUGGACGCAAGUCUGAUGGAGCAACGCCGCGUGAGUGAAGAAGGUUUUCGGACCGUAAAGCUCUGUUGUUGGUGAAGAAGGAUAGAGGUAGUAACUGGCCUUUAUUUGACGGUAAUCAACCAGAAAGUCACGGCUAACUACGUGCCAGCAGCCGCGGUAAUACGUAGGUGGCAAGCGUUGUCCGGAUUUAUUGGGCGUAAAGCGAGCGCAGGCGGAAGAAUAAGUCUGAUGUGAAAGCCCUCGGCUUAACCGAGGAAUUGCAUCGGAAACUGUUUUCUUGAGUGCAGAAGAGGAGAGUAGAACUCCAUGUGUAGCGGUGGAAUGCGUAGAUAUAUGGAAGAAUACCAGUGGCGAAGGCGGCUCUCUGGUCUGCAAACUGACGCUGAGGCUCGAAAAGCAUGGGUAGCGAACAGGAUUAGAUACCCUGGUAGUCCAUGCCGUAAAACGAUGAGUGCUAAGUGUUGGGAGGCUUCCGCCUCUCAGUGCUGCAGCUAACGCAUUAAGCACUCCGCCUGGGGGAGUACGACCGCAAGGUUGAAAC